GGGAAUGUGGCUUAGUGGUAGAGUGAUUGCCUAGCAUGCAUGAAGUCCUGGGUUCGAUUCCUCAGUACCA
rnacentral:tRNA from 1 species